rnacentral:misc_RNA from 1 species
CGUUCAGUAUUGGCCGCGCCACCGAGGCGUGUAUUCGAUGUGGACUCGCUUCUAAACAGCGAUAAAACAGCAAAAUACGCUACAAAUACACAAUAAUACGAAAUAAUCCCGUGUUCUACAUAGCAAAAAACGCUUAAAGUCGACUCUACACAUCCGCUCAAAGCUCUAUACCUCACCGUUUAAUUUUUUCUCCUUAGUUUCCUUUUUUUUAUAUAUUUUGUUUUGAUUUUUUUUUCGCCGGGAAAACGCCGGUACAGAAAAUUCUGUGAAUAGAGAAUAACAGUGAAACCUUUUGUUCGAAAACGUUUAAGAGACCUCGGAGAGGACAGAAUUUGUGUUAUUAUUGUUGUUUUCCUCUUCUUGAUUUUUCUGUGGUGUCAACACGUGUAUUAUUGAUCGUGUCGGCGUGAUUGUAAAAAAGGUAAGUGUACAUUUCAACAACAUUUCAAGUUAAAGAACGUUGGUAAGGAGAUCCAUUCCUUAAUUUCUUCGUAUGUAACAAAAUAAAUAGAUUGAUUACUUAAAUUACCAAAUUAAGCCUAGUUAAAAAAGUCUAAGUAGUAGUACAUUAGGAGCAGAGAAAGUUGGUUUUUUGUGCCUACCCUAUUAUUUGUUAGACUUUUUCUAUUCAGGCCGAACCUCCCCUAACUUCUAUUUGUUCUUUCCCCACCCUGUCUCCUCUUUUCAUUUCAAUUCCCUCAUUUCCCGCCACUAAUUGUAUUUUUCGCAAUUUACUGUUCAGGCUUCGAUUGUUUUUUUUUUUUAUUUUAUUAAUGUGACAUUUGAAAC